AUCGAACGCUGGCGGCAGGCCUAACACAUGCAAGUCGAGCGAGCGGCGGACGGGUGCGUAAUGUUUGGGAAACUGUCUGAUGGAGGGGGAUAACUACUGGAAACGGUAGCUAAAAACGUAUACCAUCAGCUGUGCCCAGAUGGGAUUAGCUAGGAGGUGGGGUAACGGCUCACCUAGGCGACGAUCCCUAGCUGGUCUGAGAGGAUGACCAGCCACACUGGAACUGAGACACGGUCCAGACUCCUACGGGAGGCAGCAGUGGGGAAUAUUGCGCAAUGGGCGCAAGCCUGAUGCAGCCAUGCCGCGUGUGUGAAGAAGGCCUUCGGGUUGUAAAGCACUUUCAGCGGAGAGGCGUUACCCGCAGAAGAAGCACCGGCUAACUCCGUGCCAGCAGCCGCGGUAAUUC
rnacentral:rRNA from 1 species